GAUUAACGCUGGCGGCGUGCAUAACACAUGCAAGUCGAACGAUGAAACUUAACUGAUUUCUUCGGAAUGAUUUUAAGUGGAUUAGUGGCGGACGGGUGAGUAACGCGUGAGUAACCUGCCUUGGAGAAGGGGAUAGCCUUUGGAAACGAAGAAUAAUACCCUAUGAUAUGAUAAUAUCUCAUGAUAUUAUCAUCAAAGAUUUAUCGCUCUAAGAUGGACUUGCGUCUGAUUAGUUAGUUGGUGAGGUAACAGCUCACCAAGGCAGCGAUCAGUAGCCGGCUUGGAAGAGUGUCAGGCCACAAGGGGACUGAGACGCGGCCAAGACUCCACCGGGGGGCAGAGGUGGGUAAUGUUGCACAGCGGGGGAAACCCUGAUGCAGGGACGCCGCGGCAUUUAGAAGGCGUUCGGAUUGUAAAAGUCUUUUGUAUGGGAAGAAAAUCACUAUCCAAAGAAAAAAAGCCGGGGAAAAUUACG
rnacentral:rRNA from 1 species